UGCCAGCCGCCGCGGUAAUACGGAGGGUGCAAGCGUUAUCCGGAAUUAUUGGGUUUAAAGGGUCCGUAGGCGGACCAUUAAGUCAGUGGUGAAAUCUCUCGGCUCAACCGGGAAACUGCCAUUGAUACUGAUGGUCUUGAAUAUAGUUGAAGUGGGCGGAAUAUGGCAUGUAGCGGUGAAAUGCUUAGAUAUGCCAUAGAACACCGAUAGCGAAGGCAGCUCACUAAGUUAUUAUUGACGCUAAGGGACGAAAGCGUGGGGAGCGAACAGGAUUAGAUA
rnacentral:rRNA from 1 species